GGCCGGCCGGCGCGGGCGCUGAUUGGCCGGCCGGCGCAGCGCUCGGGGGCGGGGCGCGCGCUGCAUUGUCUGCUCCGCGGCGGCCCGGCGGCCUGGAGGCUGUGCUCGCUCGCUGCCGGUGGUCCGGCUCUCGGGGCCGAGGGCAGCGAGGCGGGGGCGGGCCGGCAUCGCUUUGCGGGCCGGGGCCGGCGAGGGGUAGCGCCGGCAGCCGGAGCGGAGCCGAGCCCCAUCCGGGUGCCACGUCUCCAGUAACCCCUCCUCACCCGGCACGACACCCCGCCCCGCGGGGCUCAGUCUCUGGCCGCAGCAUCUGUGCCUCCCUGGAGCCGAAAACACGGCCUUGGGGUCUCUAUCCUCCCUUCCCCGUCCCGCUCAGCCUGCGGGCCUCCCCCCAGCCUGCACCAGCUCCGCAGCCCGCGCGCCAGGCCGGCCGCGCGGUGUCGGGGCACACCGCAUUCCUUCCGGAAGCCGCGCUGCACACUCGCAACCCAGGGCACGACGUGGUCCCGCGCCCACCCCCGACUGGGCUCCAGGAGCGGAGAGGCCGGCUCCCCGGCGGGGGCGGCCAGCGCGGCACGUAGCGCACGUGGAGGGCCGCUCGCGCCCGCCGCCGCCUCCCCCGGCUUCCGGGGCGCGCGGUGCGCCUACCCUCGGCGCGGCGUCCCUUCCACUCCACCCGUCCCUCCCCAGCCCUCGUGGGCCUCCUCUUUGCCCUCCUUUCCUCUGAUUUCCCCGACGCACAGGCCUCUUCCCGGCCUGCUCACAGUCCAGCUCGGCUCCUCCCUCUGGUGCGCUGUCGUCAUCCCCCACCCCUCUGGGGGCCCUGGAAUGUUUGGUGUCGGAUGUCCCCCGUGGAGACAAACCCACAGACCCCGAGACCCAGGCUGAGCUGCCGCCUCGGUGGCCUCCGUGUUUUACUUUAUUUUGUGCACUCCCACAACGUGUCUCUGUUCCUGCACCUUUAACUCGGUUGGGCCGCUUUGGAAGUUCUGGGCUCUGCUGGGAAAAGCUGAAGAGGCAGAGAGAAAAGCACACAUCUCUGUUCACCCCUCGGCCACUGCUGUCACCCUAAGAAAGGGACUAGGGGCCCUCAGGUGGUCGGAGUGUUUGGAAUUCUCUGAAUCCGGGGUGAAAGUCUUGCAACAGGAAUAAAACUUUACUUCAGAGUUUCCCGGAGCACUCCCAAAUCCACCACGGUCAUUUGAAAUCCGGCGCUCAACCAAAUCCUGUCACAUGUCCAGCACAGGGUCUGACAGUCCUGACACCAGCUCCCUUUCUCCCCUCCCCUGGCAGGGGGCACCUGGAGACACUGCGGGGCCGGGAACCAGAUCUGCCCGGGCUGGAGUGAUCCGUAGUCUGUUGAACACCCCAGGACUGUGAAGUAGAUGGGUUGUUGUUGUUUAGUUGCCAAGUCCUAUAAGGCUAUUUUUGCAACCCCAUGGACUGUAGCCCGCCAGGCUCCUCUGUCCUUGGGAUUUCCCAGGCAAGAAUACUGGAGUGGGUUGCCAUUUCCUCCUCCAGAGGAUCCUUUCAACCCAGGGAUCAAACCUGGGUCUCCUGCUUGGCAGGUGAACUCUUUACCAAUGAGCAACCAGGAAGGCCGAAGUAUAAUAGAUCGGUAAUAUUAAUAAAUUAAAACUGGAAAAUUCUGAGAGAGAUGGGAAUACCGGACCACCUGACCUGCCUCUUGAGAAACCUGUAUGCAGGUCAGGAAGCAACAGUUAGAACUGGACAUGGAACAGACUGGUUCCAAAUAGGAAAAGGAGUACAU
ensembl:lncRNA